GAUCAUAUCUUGCGCCAGCAUGUUUAUUCAAUGCUGCUCCGAAUGGCUUGAGUCCAGGCUUCUCUUCCUGCUCUGCAUUUCACUAUGAGUUAGCAACAAAGCCAUAUUGAUGGGUCAGCUAUCUCCAACGUUCUAUCUUGAAGAGCAUCCUCGCAAAACUUGUGCAGACCCAAUGAAUCUCUAAAUGUGUCCUCAGUUGGGCUUCUUCCGGUGAACAUCUCAAGCAGCAAUAUGCCAAGACUGUAAAUAUCACCAGGAGUCUCCAACUCGGGCGCUCAUGUCGUCAGCAAGAAGAAUGUUGCUUGGCUUCAGAUCACAAUGGAUUACCAAUGGUUGACAGUAGUUGUGGAGAUAUUCUACUGCGUCCACAAUAUUGACAGCAAUCUCAAGC